UGGUGCCAGCAGCCGCGGUAAUUCCAGCUCCAAUAGCGUAUAUUUAAGUUGUUACAGUUAAAAAGCUCGUAGUUGGACUUAGGGGUGGGUCGGUCGGUCUGCCUCACAGUGAGCACCGGUCUAUUCAUCUUUACUACCGGCGAUGCGCUCUUGGCCUUAAUUGGCUGGGUCGUUCCUCCGACGCUGUUACUUUGAAGAAAUUAGAGUGUUCAAAGUAGGCCUACGCUUGUAUACAUUAGCAUGGGAUAACAUCAUAGGAUUUCGAUCCUAUCGUGUUGGCCUUCGGGAUCAGAGUAAUGAUUAAUAAGGACAGUCGGGGCAUUCGUAUUUCAUAGUCAGAGGUGAAAUUCUAGGAUUUAUGAAAGACGAACAACUGCGAAAGCAUUUCCAAGGAUGUUUUCAUUAAUCAAGAAUGAAAGUUGGGGGUUUAAAGAUGAUUAGAUACCGUCCUAGUCUCAACCAUAAACGAUGCCGACCAGGGAUCGGCGAAUAUUGCUUUUAGGACUCCGCUGGCACCUUAUGAAAAAUCAAAGUCUUUGGGUUCUGGGGGGAAUAUGGUUGCAAGGCUGAAACUUAAAGGAAUUGACGGAAGGGCACCACCAAGAGUGGAGCUUGCGGCUUAAUUUGACUCAACACGGGGAAACUUAUCAGGUCCAGACAUAGUAAGGAUUGAUAGACUAAGAGCUCUUUCUUGAUUCUAUGGGUGGUGGUGCAUGGUCGUUCUUAGUUGGUGGAGUGAUUUUUCUGGUUAAUUCCAUUUACGAACGAGACAUCAGCCUGCUAACUAGCUACACGGAGGUGAUCCUCCGUGGCUAGCUUCUUAGAGGGACUAUGGCCUUUUAGGCCACGGAAGUUUGAGGCAAUAACAGGUCUGUGGUGCCCUUGGAAAGGGGCCUAAGUCCCCUAGAAAGGGGCACCGGAGAGGGUGAGAGCCCCAUCAUGCCCGGACCCUGUCGUAUCAUGAGGCACUGUCUACAAGUCAGGUUGUUUAGGAAUGCAACCCUAAUCGGGCUGUAAAUUCCGUCUAAGGCUAAAUACGGGUGAGAGACCGAUAGCGAACAAGU
rnacentral:ncRNA from 1 species